UACGGGGGGAGCAAGCGUUGUUCGGAUUUACUGGGCGUAAAGGGCGCGUAGGCGGCCAGCGCAAGUCAGUUGUGAAAUCUCCGGGACUUAACUCGGAAAGGUCAACUGAUACUGCGCGGCUAGAGUGCAGGAAGGGGCAACUGGAAUUCUCGGUGUAGCGGAUGAAUGCGUAGAUAUCGAGAGGAACACCUGCGGCGAAGGCGGGUUGCUGGGCUGACACUGACGCUGAGGCGACGAAGACGUGGGGAGCAAACAGG
rnacentral:rRNA from 1 species